AAGUCGUAACAAGGUUUCCGUAGGUGAACCUGCGGAAGGAUCAUUACCAAAUCCAAAUCCUUUUAACCCCAUGUGAACUAUUGAUUGUGUAUUUGUCUUUUUGGGGGAAAGCUUUUUAGUAAAAAUAAUUAAAGGGAUAGUAGAGAGUAGUGUUAUUUUACCUAUUCUUUCUAGUUCUUUGUUUUUUUUUCUAUAUUUUUCCCCAAGAAGAUAUUAAUAUUUAGAAAAUUCUAUUUUCUGAGUUUUCUAAUAUAUUAAUUUAAAAACUACUUAAUAAAACUACUUUGGAAUUUUUUUUUUUAAAAAUUAAAAUAAAAAACAACUUUUAACGGUGGAUCUCUUGGCUCGUG
rnacentral:misc_RNA from 1 species